rnacentral:rRNA from 1 species
UACGUAGGGUGCGAGCGUUGUCCGGAAUUAUUGGGCGUAAAGAGCUCGUAGGCGGUCUGUCGCGUCGAUCGUGAAAACUUGGGGCUUAACCCUGAGCUUGCGGUCGAUACGGGCAUGACUGGAGUUCGGCAGGGGAGACCGGAAUUCCUGGUGUAGCGGUGAAAUGCGCAGAUAUCAGGAGGAACACCGGUGGCGAAGGCGGGUCUCUGGGCCGAUACUGACGCUGAGGAGCGAAAGCGUGGGGAGCGAACGGG